rnacentral:rRNA from 1 species
GGUCAAUUCUGCAUUGUGCAUUAGGCCGAUGUAGGAUUUGGUCAUCCGUAAGGGAAGCCAGUUCGGCCUUGAUUGGUCGCCUGGGGAAACUUACAAUUUACUGUGAAAAAAUUAGAGUGUUUCAGGCAGGCCUUCGCUUGGAUACUCCAGCAUGGAAUAAUGGAAUAGGACUUUGGUCUAUUUAUUGGUUUGAGAUCAAAGUA